GCUCACUUUGGCAGCGCAUAUGCUAACAUUGGAACAAUACAGAGGAGAUUAGCAGGGCCCCUGCACAAGAACGCCAGCCAAAUUUGUGAAAUGUUGCCCAUUUUU